AUAAGAUCCGUAGUCGAAAGGGAAACAGCCCAGACCACCAGUUAAGGUCCCCAAAUAUAUGUUAAGUGGAAAAGGAUGUGGGGUUGCUUAGACAACCAGGAUGUUGGCUUAGAAGCAGCCACCAUUGAAAGAGUGCGUAAUAGCUCACUGGUCGAGUGACCCCGCGCCGAAAAUGUACCGGGGCUAAACAUAUUACCGAAACUGUGGAUGAACCUCUUUAGAGGUUCGUGGUAGGAGAGCGUUCUAAGGGCGGUGAAGUCAGACCGGAAGGACUGGUGGAGCGCUUAGAAGUGAGAAUGCCGGUAUGAGUAGCGAAAGAAGGGUGAGAAUCCCUUCCACCGAAUAUCUAAGGUUUCCUGA
rnacentral:rRNA from 1 species